rnacentral:rRNA from 1 species
GAUGAACGCUGGCGGCGUGCCUAACACAUGCAAGUCGAGCGAUUCUCUUUGGAGAAGAGCGGCGGACGGGUGAGUAACGCGUGGGUAACCUGCCUCAUACACAUGGAUAACAUACCGAAAGGUAUGCUAAUACAGGAUAACAUAAGAGAUUCGCAUGUUUCUCUUAUCAAAGCUCCGGCGGUAUGAGAUGGACCCGCGUCUGAUUAGCUAGUUGGUAAGGUAAUGGCUUACCAAGGCAACGAUCAGUAGCCGACCUGAGAGGGUGAUCGGCCACAUUGGAACUGAGACACGGUCCAAACUCCUACGGGAGGCAGCAGUGGGGAAUAUUGCACAAUGGGCGAAAGCCUGAUGCAGCAACGCCGCGUGAGUGAUGAAGGCCUUCGGGUCGUAAAACUCUGUCCUCAAGGAAGAUAAUGACGGUACUGAGAGAGCCCG